GUAGUUGGCCGGUGCUUCUUCUGCAGGUACCGUCACUUUGCCCAAAAAGACAAAGCUUCGUCCCUGCUGAAAGAGGUUUACAACCCGAAGGCCGUCAUCCCUCACGCGGCGUUGCUGGAUCAGGCUUUCGCCCAUUGUCCAAUAUUCCCCACUGCUGCCUCCCGUAGGAGUCUGGACCGUGUCUCAGUUCCAGUGUGGCCGAUCAGCCUCUCAGCUCGGCUACCCAUCGUUGGCAUGGUGGGCCGUUACCCCGCCAUCUACCUAAUGGGACGCGAACCCCUCCCAAAGCGGAUUGCUCCUUUGACCCCUUUGCCAUGUGACAUUGUGGUCUUAUGCGGUAUUAGCAUCUGUUUCCAAAUGUUAUCCCCCUCUUUGGGUCAGGUUGUUCACGCGUUACUCACCCGUUCGCCACUAAGCUAACAACCGAAAUCAUUAGCUCCGUUCGACUUGCAUGUGUUAAGCACGCCGCCAGCGUUCGUCCUGAGCCAUGAUCAAACUACUGA
rnacentral:rRNA from 1 species